AUCAUACCCACAGAUUUUAGGAAGAUGGUGCCGUAUAGACGAGAGAAAGCCAUCUGUCAAUGAUGUAUGACCGUCAACUUGUUUCCUAAUGCCACAUAUUUCUUGGUACAUGCUGCUCAGGGACUGUGGGCUGAUAUCCUCAUAUAAUCCUGCAUGAAACGGCCAAGGAAAACCCCUCUGCUGUCCGUAAACGAUACCUCCUUUGGCGUUCAGACGAGUCUCUGUGCGAGUGUCAGGUCGUGUAUACCUCAGCUGCUCCGUGGGCAAGACAAGCAGAUCCCUGUUGAUACUUGCAGUAGUCAAUGGAUUC